rnacentral:lncRNA from 1 species
UGAAUUCAAGAUUUGACUUUUGUGGAACUUAACAAGUUAAAGAGAGAGAAAACUUUCAAUUUGAUGUAAACCGAGUUUGAUAAUCUCUGAAAGUCAUCUUGUUUACAAAUAUAACUUAUUCUUUUGUUCGUAUUUCUCUGCUAAUAAUUACUAUGUAUAUUUGAUAAUCACUGAAAGUCAUCUUGUUUACAAAUAUGACUUAUUCUUUUGUUCAUAUUUCUUUGCUAGUAAUUACAAUGUAUAUUUGGG